rnacentral:lncRNA from 1 species
UUCAAGAUUUGCUUCAAAUAUUAAUUCCAGCACGUGUGUAUAUGCAAGACGAGACUUACUGCACAAGAAUUGUCCAAGUCGGCCUAAGGAAAGUUAUUAAGAACAAAAAUAUAAUUAUGCUUUUUUUUGUUUGGUACAACACAAAACAUAUUUUCAAUUUUAAUCUAGGUUUGGCCGCAGCUGUUGCAAGGGUUUUGGUCUGCAACCCUAGCUUGCCCAUCAAGACAUUGAAG